GUUGAAAUACUAGUUCCCAUACAAUCACUGAAGUUAAGCAACGCCAAGCCUGGUCAGUAUCUAGAUGGGUGACUGCUUGGGAAUACCAGCUG